rnacentral:rRNA from 1 species
AUACGGAGGGUGCAAGCGUUAAUCGGAAUUACUGGGCGUAAAGCGUACGUAGGCGGUCCGUUAAGUUAGAUGUGAAAACCCCGGGCUUAACCUGGGAACUGCAUUUAAAACUGGCGGACUAGAGUUGAGUAGAGGGGAGUAGAAUUUCAGGUGUAGCGGUGAAAUGCGUAGAGAUCUGAAGGAACACCAGUGGCGAAGGCGACUCCCUGGACUCGAACUGACGCUGAGGUACGAAAGCGUGGGUAGCAAACGGGAUUAGAAACCCCAGUAGUCC